rnacentral:rRNA from 1 species
CACGCAGGCGGGUGCGCGCGUGGGGUGUGAAAUCUGGCCGCUUAACGGCCAGGCGCCAUCCCAUACGGCGCGCCUGGAGCCUUGCAGAGGUCGGUGGAAUUGCCGGUGUAGUGGUGAAAUGCGUAGAGAUCGGCAGGAACACCCAGGGGGAAACCAGCCGACUGGGCAAGUGCUGACGCUGAGGUGCGAGAGCGUGGGGAGCGAACCG